UACGUAGGGUGCAAGCGUUUAAUCGGAAUUACUGGGCGUAAAGCGUGCGCAGGCGGUUGUGUAAGUCAGAUGUGAAAUCCCCGGGCUCAACCUGGGAAUGGCAUUUGAGACUGCACAGCUAGAGUGUGUCAGAGGGGGGGUAGAAUUCCACGUGUAGCAGUGAAAUGCGUAGAGAUGUGGAGGAACACCGAUGGCGAAGGCAGCCCCCUGGGUCAAGACUGACGCUCAUGCACGAAAGCGUGGGGAGCAAACAGG
rnacentral:rRNA from 1 species